GACUUUAGAAAUCGUGAGGGUUCAAGUCCCUCUAUCCCCA
rnacentral:tRNA from 8 species